rnacentral:rRNA from 1 species
UACGGAGGAUGCAAGCGUUAUCCGGAUUUAUUGGGUUUAAAGGGUGCGCAGGUUGUUUGAUAAGUCAGUGGUGAAAGUCUGUCGCUUAACGGUAGGAUUGCCAUUGAUACUGUUGGACUUGAAUAUGGAUGAGGUAGGCGGAAUGUGUAGUGUAGCGGUGAAAUGCAUAGAUAUUACACAGAACACCGAUUGCGGAGGCAGCUUACUAAUCCAUCAUUGACGCUGAGGCACGAAAGCGUGGGGAUCAAACAGGA